GAGGUAUGCUGAAAGGUUUAGAAAGAACACAAUUCUAAUAAUGUCCAAGGAAAGUUUAUUGGAGCAACGCAGUAGUGUCCCUAGAAGUCUUCUGUAGGAUCCUUGCAUUUUGGCUGAAGCCCAGACUGUGGUGUUUCUCUGAGCCAAGAUGGCCUCUGAGCAGGCAGGGAUUUGGAAACAGGUGUGCAUUAUUGAGACAGACACACCUGGGCAUUCCAUGUGGGAAUUUUAGGGCUUUUGGGAUUGGUUCCCAUGGAAUUAGCCAAACCCCUGGAAUUAAUGAAGAGGCUUAUAAAAGUGAAGCUGGGAAGGAAGAUAUUUAGAUUGUGCUUUGUGUUGGAGAGGAACAGGGACCUUAUAAACUCCUUCAUGGUUGUGGACCACUGCAGUCAUUUCACUACUGUACAAGACUACAUCCUCUUGUGUAGAUGGUGCUUUUCAUCCUGGAGUACUUUCCAUGUUGACAGGAAUUGACUUCACCUGUCCUGGAAAUGCAGCACUACAAGAUUUGCUUCCUGACUGCAAAGUUCACCUGGACAAAGCUUAGACACCAGAAACAAGCUCCAUUGUCUGCUGGGGGCUGGAGGUCCUGCAUUUCCUAUUGGUCAGAUGCUCAUGUACUGAGGAGCUCCUCUUUUGGUCAGUGAGAGGAGGUGUCUCUUCAAUUCCUAUUGGUCCCAUUUAGGGAGCUGAGCAGCCAAUCACAGCUGGUGACAACGCUGGAUGAUCUUCAUACACUGAUCUAUGGAGGAGGAUAUGUUUUGGAGUUUCUGACCUUUUGCUGUAACUGACACCCAACGAAGGCUCCACAGCUGGAAUGUUUUUUUCCAUUUCAUCAGGGAAUAAAUAUUGACAUGCCCCCCUUACAAAUGUGUUUGACAACAGAAUCCACCUUUAAGUACUGUAACAUUGUGUAUAUGGGUGAAUAGAUGUAUGGCGAUUAUUGCAACUGGUGUGGAUGUUGGUUUUUGUGCAAACCUGUUAUUUUUGGGUUGACUACUAAGUAAACCUGGCGUUUGUGUGUUAUGGUGACUGGGAGAUGUGCCACAGUCUGUACACAUAGCGUCUAAGUUUAACAGUGGAGGACUUGGUCAAUGUUGCUGUGCUCACUGAAGCAGGAGCCAUUUUUAAUAACUAGCUAUACAGCACUUGACUGUAGUAAAAGCCACAUAAGAAGUGUUCUUUACAAGCUGGGAUGCUUAAAAGGAAUAUAGCUGGAUUGCAUUUUAACCCUGCUGUUGUGCAGUGACAAAGUUAUUAGCUAUUCCAAAUUGUCUUGGUGGGGAAGUAUUUUCAUUAAUCUUUUCCUUUAACUUCAUAACAUUGCACUAACAAAACUGUUUCUGUUAUUUGGGAAAAUUUCAAAUCCAGACUAGGAGGAAAAACAAAAUCCCUGAGAAAAGCUGGCACUAGCAAAACUGAUGUAAUUACCAUAGAAACCCUUUAAUCUUUCAUUUAAA